GGCGUAAAGCGUGGUUAAAAGAAUACUAAAAACUAGGGCCGAAUAGCCUCAAAGCAGUUAUACGCACUCGAGACCACGAAGUACAAUUACGAAAGUAGCUCUACCCUACUUUGACUCCACGAAAACCAUAAAACAAACUGGGAUUAGAUACCCCACUAUGUAUGGCUGUUAACAUCGAGGGCCCGAUACUCAGACCCUCCGCCUGGGUACUACGAGCACUAGCUUAAAACCCAAAGGACUUGGCGGUGCUUUACCCCCCACUAGAGGAGCCUGUUCUAGAACUGAUAACCCCCGUUGAACCUCACCAUCCCUCGUUUAACCCGCCUAUAUACCGCCGUCGUCAGCUUACCCUGUGAAGGCCAAAUAGUAAGCAAAAAUGGCUAAGCCAAAAACGUCAGGUCGAGGUGUAGUGAAUGGGAUGGGAAGAAUGGGCUACAUUCUCUGUUACAGAGAAUACGAAUGGCAGCCUGAAAACCCUGCCUGAAGGUGGAUUUAGCAGUAAGGGGGGAAUAGAGUGCCCCCCUGAAA
rnacentral:rRNA from 1 species